ACCGGUGUGGCUCAGUGGAUAGAGCGUCGGUCUGUGGACUGAAAGGUCCCAGGUUCGAUUCUGGUCAACGGCA
rfam:Myotis brandtii contig303840, whole genome shotgun sequence.